CCAGAGGUAGCUCAGUUGGGAGAGCGUCAAUGCCGUGACUAACUUUCAUCCGCGCGCGAGCGCGGGUCGCUGGAAACGGUUACCAAUGGGAAUGGGAAGGUCGCAGGUUCGAGUCCUGCCCUCUGGC
rnacentral:tRNA from 1 species